GCCGCCACCGCCUCAGGGAAGAGGAAGGAGGCCGCGGCUUCGCGUCCCGCCUCUCGCCUGGCUGGCCGUGGGGGGCCUGGACGCAGUGGCCUCCCGAAUCUCCCAGGACCCUAAUAUCGCCCGAGGAUGCUGGGAGGAACGCUGAGCCGACCUCUCCGUUAGGCUGAAGAUUGCACAAACCAUGCUAAUGGCCAGCAUGGAUGGAGGGAGCGUGUGAGAUGUGUGGGGCAGCGUGCUGCAUCUCAGCCAACUCCAGGAGCCAGUUGAUGUGAUGGACUACCUUAAUUGAUUUUUGAAUGUUGAGCCAGCCUUAUGCAUGUGGGAUAAACCCCUGUUGAUCAUGGUAUAGAGCAAUAAAAGAAGAAUUCAAGCAAAGGGAUCAGGAAGAGGAUUGCUACUAAGAGGCAGA
rnacentral:lncRNA from 1 species